CCACUGUAGAAAGGAACUGUUUUAGAAACCAAAUGGGCAGAAGGGAGACUGUUUGAAAUCUUUGGUACUGAGGUUCCAUGAUGUCCAUCCUUUCUUGGAUUGCUGGGUCCAGCUCCUGUAUAAUGUGACAGUGUCCACUGUGCUGUUGAUAUGCCUUCUGUCAUGGAACCCUGCUUGCAACAUGGGAUGAAAUCCUGGGCCCACUGAAGUCAAGGGCAGGAUUACAUCCAAGAUGCUUACUCAUGGUAGGGCAAGAAAUCCAGCCAAGUCAACGAGAGCUCUUCCUGCUUCCAAAUGGCAUCUGAUCUCUGAAGAGCGUGCACAUCAUUUCUUGCUUGAAGGACAAGGCAAAGUCGGUAGGUGUCCUCAGAGCAAGCUCAGAGCAGCAGAACCUGUACUUUUGAGAGUAGAGACAACAUACAUCAAAGUUCUGUCUGGGAGCUUGUUGCAGAUGAUAAUACAGCUCUUUGUUGGGGUGUAACAGAGCUCUUCACUGAAGCCACAGCAGCAGAGCUGAGUGAACUCUGGGUGGAAGUUGAAGGACACUCUCCCUAAACAGGUGUCUGAUUACAUGAACAAGCAGUAUAACCCAGCUGCAUUAAUAACCCACACUUUGCCUCAAUGAAGGAUUCGAACUGCGGUGAGCAGGGAAAAGUAUUUGCAGCAUCCUGUUGUUUUAAGCCCCUGAGCGAUGAGGAGUGGGGUGUGAGCAGCACAGCGCUUCUCCUCCAGAAUCACCUGUCUGACUCCUUCCCCUUAGUCAAAACUUUUAUUAGUGUGUUGAUUUUACAAUCUUUGCUUCUAGAGCUGUGUAAAUUGGGCUUCUCUGAACCUGGAAACAUCGGAAUAGAUUGAGGAAUCAUUUUUGUUUUGGAUUAAGAAUUCAAACCUCCGUCCAUAGCUUUGAGGUGUGUGAAAGAGAGCAGAGCAUGUAGGAAGGUGGUUAUCCUGAUGGAUCUGCUUCCAAGUUAUUCGGAAUUAAACUAAAUUAACCAUUCCAUCAAGUAAUUACAAUAGCUCUCGUGGAACCUCUCCCAGUAUGUUCCUCAGGUCCAUUGUCUGCUGCCUUGUAGUUACUUUUUAAUCAAGGCUCCUCUGCCUCUUUCUGGACUCCACAAUUUGGUCAAGAGCAAGUACCAACCAAUCUGCAACCAACGGCACAUAACUUGAGUGUGAUACACAGAGGGCUUCUACUGAAACAAAGAUGUAAUCUGAGAAGGCAUUUAUCAGGUGGAAAGAGGAACACUUUUGUUAGCAUGGAUUUCCCAUUCAAACUGAAUAAUGACCUUCUGUUACUGUAACAUUUCAUUAAAUGCAGGAAACUGGUUUUCUAAUUGCUUCUUGCUUUUCAUGUUCUCUUGUGAUCUUUACUGCAAAGUUUGUGUAAAUGUAUC